rnacentral:piRNA from 1 species
UGGUGAGGGGUGAUGUGCUCACUUUGUACC